AGAGUUUGAUCCUGGCUCAGGACGAACGCUGGCGGCACGCCUAACACAUGCAAGUCGAACGGAGAUGAUUUGAGUUUACUUAGAUCAUCUUAGUGGCGGACGGGUGAGUAACACGUGAGCAACCUGCCUUUGAGAGAGGGAUAGCUUCUGGAAACGGAUGGUAAUACCUCAUAACAUACAGAUACCGCAUGGUGACUGUAUCAAAGAUUUACCACUCAAAGAUGGGCUCGCGUCUGAUUAGAUAGUUGGUGAGGUAACGGCUCACCAAGUCGACGAUCAGUAGCCGGACUGAGAGGUUGAACGGCCACAUUGGGACUGAGACACGGCCCAGACUCCUACGGGAGGCAGCAGUGGGGAAUAUUGCACAAUGGGGGAAACCCUGAUGCAGCGAUGCCGCGUGGAGGAAGAAGGUUUUCGGAUUGUGAACUCCUGUCUUAAAGGACGAUAAUGACGGUACUUUAGGAGGAAGCUCCGGCUAACUACGUGCCAGCAGCCGCGGUAAUACGUAGGGAGCGAGCGUUGUCCGGAAUUACUGGGUGUAAAGGGAGCGUAGGCGGGACGGCAAGUCAGAUGUGAAAUACAUGGGCUCAACCCAUGGGCUGCAUUUGAAACUGCUGUUCUUGAGUGAAGUAGAGGUAAGCGGAAUUCCUGGUGUAGCGGUGAAAUGCGUAGAUGUCAGGAGGAACACCGGUGGCGAAGGCGGCUUACUGGGCUUUUACUGACGCUGAAGCUCGAAAGUGCGGGUAUCGAACAGGAUUAGAUACCCUGGUAGUCCGCACGGUAAACGAUGGAUGCCCGCUGUUGGUCUGAACAGGUCAGCGGCCAAGCGAAAGCAUUAAGCAUCCCACCUGGGGAGUACGCCGGCAACGGUGAAACUCAAAGGAAUUGACGGGGGCCCGCACAAGCGGAGGAACAUGUGGUUUAAUUCGAUGAUACGCGAGGAACCUUACCCGGGCUUGAAUUGCAGAGGAAGGAUUUGGAGACAAUGACGCCCUUCGGGGUCUCUGUGAAGGUGCUGCAUGGUUGUCGUCAGCUCGUGCCGUGAGGUGUCGGCUUAAGUGCCAUAACGAGCGCAACCCCUCUCCUUAGUUGCCAUCAGGUUAAGCUGGGCACUCUGGGGACACUGCCACCGUAAGGUGUGAGGAAGGUGGGGAUGACGUCAAAUCAGCACGGCCCUUACGUCCGGGGCUACACACGUGUUACAAUGGCAGGUACAGAGAGACGGUUGUACGUAAGUACGAUCAAAUCCUUAAAGCCUGUCUCAGUUCGGACUGGGGUCUGCAACCCGACCCCACGAAGCUGGAUUCGCUAGUAAUCGCGCAUCAGCCAUGGCGCGGUGAAUACGUUCCCGGGCCUUGUACACACCGCCCGUCAAGCCAUGAAAGCCGGGGGCGCCUAAAGUCCGUGACCGUAAGGAGCGGCCUAGGGCGAAACUGGUAAUUGGGGCUAAGUCGUAACAAGGUA
rnacentral:rRNA from 1 species